rnacentral:rRNA from 1 species
UACGUAGGGUGCGAGCGUUAAUCGGAAUUACUGGGCGUAACGCGUGCGCAGGCGGUUCGUUAAGACAGAUGUGAAAUCCCCGGGCUUAACCUGGGAACUGCAUUUGUGACUGGCGAGCUAGAGUAUGGCAGAGGGGGGUAGAAUUCCACGUGUAGCAGUGAAAUGCGUAGAGAUGUGGAGGAAUACCGAUGGCGAAGGCAGCCCCCUGGGCCAAUACUGACGCUCAUGCACGAAAGCGUGGGGAGCAAACAGG